rnacentral:rRNA from 1 species
UACGUAGGGGGCAAGCGUUAUCCGGAUUUACUGGGUGUAAAGGGAGCGUAGACGGCAGCGCAGGUCUGGAGUGAAAUCCCAUGGCUUAACCAUGGAACUGCUUUGGAAACUGUGCAGCUGGAGUGCAGGAGAGGUAAGCGGAAUUCCUAGUGUAGCGGUAAAAUGCGUAGAUAUUAGGAGGAACACCAGUGGCGAAGGCGGCUUACUGGACUGUAACUGACGUUGAGGCUCGAAAGCGUGGGGAGCAAACAGG